CCACUCUGAAGGCAAGCAAGUAUGUAUCUUAAGUUCCAUGCUGCAGUUAAAAUUUAAUCAUAUUAAUAUUAUCUCUGAUAUCAUGGACACAACAUAGAUUUUGCAAGCAAAACUUUAUCAAGCUAGAUUUGUUGCACGUGCACUACAUGUUGAUGUAACUGGGCUGGACAAUUUUUGUGUUUUUCCAUCAUGUUGAAAGUUGUCCCUGAUGUACGUACAUUAUUAUCCUCCAUGGAAGCGACGAAUAGCUGAUGUUUGGUAAUAGUUACUUCAUGGUAUGUUGCACAUUCCUCUAAAUUUGCGAGAUCUGAGAUAGUAGAAACAAACAUCAUGAUCUUCUGGCCUUGCCUGAUGCUUCGCUAUUUGAGGACCAUAUAUUAAAAUGGAUUUAAUUACCAGUCUAUGCAUCUGAUGCGGAAAGUUUUAGGAUUUCAGUAUAUGUUUAGUUAUGCUCUUACAGUUUAUGCAAGUGAAUUAGCAGAAAAAAAUUGCAGGAACUAUUGUUUUUUUCAUAAAUGUGAAGCAUGUACAACUAUUUUUCUAUUGCAAAAAAAGCAUUCCUUGCUCCAAGCGAGCCAGCACACAAAUAAGAGUGACUCCAAGCUUUUUUCAGAACUGAGUUAGUUACGUUAUCCGUAAGAGUAUCUUAGGUUUUAGGUGACAAUCUCCAAACUCUCUCUGCAUUAUUAAUUUAAUUUUUGUAAAUACUAUGAAGACUAGAACUUUAAGAAUUAAACCAAUAAGUGUAUUUAGUGAAGUCAGAGGUCUGUUUGGAAUAUUCUUAGUGCAAGUCUGACAUGAAAGGAGGGCUGUCGUUUUUCCAUGACUGACUGGUGCUUCAUGAAGCAACGGUCAUAAUAUUAAUCAAAGUCGAAGCCUUUGUCUAAUCUCCUUUUUGUAAAACAUUAUUUUUGUAAUAUUCUUAACUUAAUUAAUGAUCACUUCCAUUAUGCUACCAUUUUAUGCGCACCAUGUUUUUAAAUGCAAUAGCCCACAACGAAAUAGUUAACUAUACAUCAAUUUCUCUUGAAGUUAGAAGGAAGUCCCUGUUAUUUGUAAUUUUAUACACCAUACAUCUAUGAAGUUUCUUAUUUCUUAUUUAACUCUUCUAUAGAAGAUGCUAUUCCUAAAGGUUGUUGUUGACACCCAAAAAGCUCCUCGGUAGACAUGUUCCUCUCCGGCACAUCACUUGGUGGAUCUAGAGGGGCAACCAUCAGCUUAUGAAAAAGGGCAACUAAACUGGCUGCUAUUGUUCCUUACCAAGAGUAAUUUCCCCAGUGCCUAACAUACAAUUUGGUUUGUUGCAUCAUGAUAAGGUCUUCAUGAUGUGCACAGGCAUGCGUAUUUUUACAUUUAAUCUGUUUUCCUAUCUUACAUCCAUGCAUUCACAUAUUAGAGGAUAAAUAUGUUGCAGGCUCUUAUCUACAUGCAUGAAUGUUAAAUCUGUAUCCAAUGGUAAAGUUGGCUUUAUCAGGUGACCUGGGCUAGACCUUUCCACAUAUAUACUGUAUUAUUGGCGCACAAUAUAUUUCUAUUCUAAAUUUUUGACUUUAUCAAAUUUAUAUUGCAGGAAAAAGGAUCAUGGAAUAACAUGCGAGGUGUAUAUUGUUGUUAGCAUCUGCUUAUUUUGAUGCAUUCUAUUUGCAUACAUAUACCAAGUUUUUCGUCAAAUACAUAUAUUGCAGGACAAUGGAUGAUCGAGUAGCACUCAAGAUGGCAAGGUGGUUGAGAUUUACGAACUGUUGUAUCUUGAGGACUCAUGAUGCAGUUGUAUGUUGAUACAUGUAGAUUUAUGACUAUUGCCAUAUCAUCCAGUGUAUCUAUCUAUCUAUGUCUCCUUAACUUCAACAUAUUUACCUUGAAUAAUUAUGGUUUAAUACAUGUUCUUUCUCUAUUAGUGAUCUGAGUUUUAUUGGUUUACACCCCCUUGGUUCAAACAUUAUUAUUCUCUACUUUAGACAUUUAUAUAACUAAA
rnacentral:lncRNA from 1 species